AGGCACUCACCAGCUCUAUGCCCUGGCUUCAGGCACAGAAACGGGCAUUACCACUGACACUGAAGUCGAUUAUCACUGCAAGGGCUACUGGCGACACUGCGCGGCUUUAUAGAUGUGUGAAAUGCAUGCAGGGGUACCUGUAGAGUCGGCCUUCUUCUGGCAACCUGCUGCUGCUGCUCCAGCAGGGUGGAAAGCUGCUGUCGCAGGAUGCCGAGGGCCUGGGCCGUGGAGAGCCCCAGGGGGGCGACCCCCUCCUCCUGAAACGAUUACCCCUUAAAGCACUUGCUGUCUGACUGCGCCGUACACAUUUAGCAUAAACUGUUCACUUGAGAAAGCAGGCACACACAGACACACACACACACACACACACACACACACAUCUGUAUUUACUGCACACUUUACAGUCGAAUUAUGGCGCUAUUGGACCGGAAGAGACUCACUUCUCAUCCAAUGCUGUAAGAUAAACCACCGAGACAGUGUACACUAGUUCUCCAAUCUAUAAAUACCACCGAAUCAAAAUACUACCCAAAAUAUCAGGAAACGCCUAUAUUUGUAAAAUCAAAAUGUUUAAGGCACUGUGCUUGCUGAAAUGUAGAGGAACAAAGAUACCUUUAGCUUUAACAAACACAAGGUUCAUACACUUUCUGCCAAUAAGUUUUCACAAUUUCAAAAUAUCCGAUACACUUACAAGUUUUCCUAGAAAACCAACAGCCACAAUUAGCACAUCAUCGGCCAAAAGCUUCUCUAUUUCAGGCAAUUUACCCAUUAAACUCAUUACCAGAUGGAAUUAGCAAUGUUAAUGCCAGAGUCUGCCAUUGUGCUAAGGGUUCCCAUCCCCCAGCAAGGAUUCCACGAGGCCAUGGAUUACUAGCGGUUUUCAGCUGGGAUGGUAAGUUACCAAAAAUAACCCGUAUAUUUAAGCCAAUUCACAACCCCUGACAAUAGAGCAUUUUGAUCACAUGGGGAAAAAAGAUUUCAGUUGUCCACAGUUUACCACGGGUUGGGAAUUUUUUUUUUUUUUUUAAUGUGUAACAGUAUGUUUUUUUCCCCCCACUGUUCCUUCUUCCUUUGAUGGGUAUGAAAAGCCCAUGACUUUCACUGCACCCUCAUCCCUUGAUACAUGACGUACAUUUUGACAUUGCUCUCUUCUCUCGAGAGUAACGUCAUAAUCCCUUUCAUUUAAGGCAGGGGUGGGGAACCUGUUCUGUGGAGGGCAGGUGUGGGCGUGGUUGUUGGCCUCUC